CUAAUGAAGUAAACGAAACACACACACACAGUAACCUUUCAAAAAAGAGGCUUUGAUCUGAAGUGGCGUUGACUCUCUGCUUCUUGUGCUUCGCUUUUUCUCACCAAAGGCGUCAUUUUGAGGCUCUCGAUAAAUCUUCUCUGACGAUUCUUUGGCUCCAUCACUGUUUGCGGCUACUUCUCUUCGGCAGCGGCACUCGUGGCGAGGAUAAGUUGGCAGUGCUUCAGCUCCGACAACCUGAUCAAAUUCUCUCUAAGGAAAGCCUCAAGCCAAGCAAAGUCAAGCAAUGCCAAGCC